CACGUAGGGCGCAAGCGUUGUCCGGAAUUAUUGGGCGUAAAGAGCUCGUAGGUGGUUUGUUACGUCUGCUGUGAAAACCUAGGGCUUAACCCUGGGCUUGCAGUGGAUACGGGCAGACUAGAGGUAGGUAGGGGAGAAUGGAAUUCCUGGUGUAGCGGUGAAAUGCGCAGAUAUCAGGAGGAACACCGGUGGCGAAGGCGGCUCACUGGCUCAUAUCUGACGCUCAGGCGCGACAGCGUGGGGAUCAAACAGG
rnacentral:rRNA from 1 species